UACGUAGGGGGCAAGCGUUGUCCGGAUUUAUUGGGCGUAAAGCGCUCGCAGGCGGUCCGAUGCGUCGUGCGUGAAAGCCCCCGGCUCAACCGGGGAAGUGCAUCUGAAACUGGCGGGCUAGAGUACGAAAGAGGGUCGCGGAAUUCCCGGUGUAGAGGUGAAAUUCGUAGAUAUUGGGAAGAACACCGGUGGCGAAGGCGGCGAGCUGGUCCAUUACUGACGCUGAGGCGCGACAGCGUGGGGAGCAAACAGG
rnacentral:rRNA from 1 species